rnacentral:sRNA from 1 species
CUGGGUUAAAGAAAGCUGUGAGGAGGUUCUUUACGCGGCCUUUGAGAGAUCCAAAAGCACAGGCAGAAGCGGGAAGGAGACAGUUCAGUCUGAGCCACACAACCCAGCCUCCUCUAGAAAGCCAAGGUGGCUGGCCCACUCGAGCCUGGUUCCGUUUCUACUUGAACAGUUUACUUUUACCCAGGAGGAACCAGGGAGGCUCGUGAGAAGCCUUGCCAUUCUCAGAAAUCAGGGAACACGUUAAGACGUUUGCUAGGUGAGAAGCCAGGGAUACGGCACCGUGAGAUCAGGACGGCUGAGGAUCUGGAGUUUGAUAGCAGCCCGAGCUACAGAGUGAGAUCCUGUCAUAAACAAACGGACAACUGAAUGACUCCACUGGCUUUUAGCCUUCCCAGUAUUAGGUGAAUGUUGUGAUUGCUCAGAGUCCUCAUGGCAGCAGCAACGGUGUCUCUGUCAAGUCCUGUGGUGGUGCGCAUACAGAGUUGCUCAUCUGCCCCCAACCGGCCCUCGGCCCGCGCCUGGGCACGGAUGCCCUCAAAGAAGCAGCACCAUCUCAGGGUGCCCGCACUUACAGAGCUCAGGUUUACUCUCCACGGUUCUCCCAGAACAAAGCAGCCCUCAGUGCUGCAGGGCUGCCAUGCCCUUGUUAACCAGAACAUGAGGGCCGACCUCCCCUUCUUCGGACAAGCUGGACCACGUUGAAGCUGUAAACAGGCCCAUAAAUCAGCUGCCCUACAAUGGCAGAGUUCUUGCGAGCCCUCAAGCCCCAUAUGCAUUCCUCCUGGUUAAUGAAUACCGAGGUAGAGCCGCUGUUCUACUCAGUGGAAGCCGAGUUAGAACCAGAAGAUGGAUAUGUGAAAAUCAGCUGCCCAGGAAAACCAAAGCCACCGAAGGAAACUGACUUCAAAGGCCUCCAGUCUCCUCUACGCAAUGCUUUGCCAGCUGAGUAAUUUGUAUGACAAAGCAGAUGCGCAUGAACCCAGCCCUGUGAGUGCAUUUUGCUCCCGUCCCAGGUGAGAGGGUUUUUCUUUUAAAAACUGUCUUCACCUCUUCUACUUGGAGUGCCGUGUGGAACCUCUGGUGUAAGGAGAAGCUUUCUAAAAGUCCAGAGGCCUCACUGCCCCCUCUAUGGCUUUUCCUGGCUCCCGAGUGCAUUCAGAGCACACUUCUCAGCAGCUUGUGGUGGGUUAGAUCCUACGGGUUUUCUUCCUUCCCUUCCAUUUUAUGAAAGAAAGAGUUUAUUUUGGACAGGGCAGCGGUGGUGCACUUUUAGUCCCAUCAUUCAGGAGACGGAGGCAGGCAGAUCAUUGUGAGUUUGAGGUCAACCUGAUCUAUAGACUGAGUUCUAAGACAGUCAAGGUUACAGAGAGAAACCCUGUCUCAAAACAAACAAACAAACAAACAAAGAGUUGAUCUUGGUUUAAUGUUUAAUGGGGUCAGAGUUCAUCAUGGUAGGGAAAUAUGGCAGCAAGCUUCAGGCACAGCGACAGAAGCUGAGAGCUGGUAACCAUGCACAGCAGAGAGAGAAGGAAAAGUGGGGUGAGGCUAAGUUGACCCCCCAGUGAUGUGCUUCCUACAGCCAGGCUCCACCUCCCAAAGGUUCCACAAAUUCCCCAAAACAGCACCCACCCUACAGCCUUUCUUAACAGAUGAAGUAAAACAAGUUCUUGCUGAUGCCUGGAGAUCCUGUAAAGAUGAGACACCCCAAGUCUCUGAAACAGAAGACAAGAGGAAUACUCAGAGACUAAGAAAAAACAAGCACAGGGGUGAUGGCUUAGUGGUGAAGGUGCCUGUCACUCAACAAAGGAGGACCUGAGUUCAAAGCUCCACUACUCACGUAACAUUCUCCGCUCAUCCCGGUGCUGGGGAGGUGGACACAAGAGCAUCUCUGCAGCUUGCUGGCCAUCCAGCCAAAUCAGUGUGCUUUGGGUUCAAAAAGUGGGGUGGAAAGAAGGAAGAGGAAGACAUCAGGUCGAAUAUCUGAAAAAUAUAUUCACCCGCAUAUUUCAAAAGAAAAGGAAUGCAGUGAACAUGCCCAGGUUGAUGGGAAGCUCAGGUCUGCACACGUGCUUCUGACAAGAUCAUCUGACAUGAGCCGGCCGAGAGUGCUCUCCUCAGCUCCAUGCUGCAAGCUAUCAGCCAGCAUAGGAAAUCUGAAGUGGCAAUCCCUUCCACAUCCAGGAAUGAAUUCCUGCUGUCUGCACCAUCCAUGGCUGCUCCUGACUUUGGGAGUUCUCAUGGACUUCCACAGCUAUUCCUUUUCCAGAAACAGGCCAGCGGAAGGCAAGACCAAAGCCCACCCUCUCUACCCAGAUUGCUACCUUUAAUGGAGAAAGAAACAUGCAUGCACACAGGCAAAAGCCUGCUCUCUCUCUCUCUCUCUCUCUCUCUCUCUCUCUCUCUCUCUCUC